CAAGUACUGUGCCGUCAACCUACCGUAAAUACAAGAGCUGGCUCUGCUAACCGGUCAAUGCGACUUUGGGAGUUGGCGUACGGUUUUUUAAACUGUGGUGAAAUUUGUGAGGACAAUGAAUGUGGGCACGAACAAAAUAUAAUUGGAGACGACAAAUGAGGAACAACCUACAUUUUGACAGAGCAUUUGGCAAAGUUACAAAACUGCGAUUACGAUUCAGAUUGUGGUAGAAGGUGACCGGAUGAAGUUAGUAAGCACAGUGCGGGACAGUUAUCAUUUGGAGCAUAAUCUUUAUAUCUUGAGAAAGAAUAUUGUUUUAAGGGGAAGAAUGAACAAAAAUACAAGAAAUUGGCAGAGACAGAGAGCAAAAGUAACCUGACCAAACCUGAUAUUUUCAAAUAGUGGUCUUGGCCUAAUUCUUUAAUAAUUUGUUAGCCAAAUGAGUACUUGGAAUUGGAAUGCCUAAACUGUAAUUAGGUAAACAAUAUUAUCUCUUUUAUCAUAUACCAUAGUUGUAAACAAUG